GAUGAAGAACGUAGCGAAAUGCGAUACUUGGUGUGAAUUGCAGAAUCCCGUGAACCAUCGAGUCUUUGAACGCAAGUUGCGCCUCAAGCCAUUAGGUUGAGGGCACGUCUGCCUGGGCGUCACAUAUCGUUGCCUGAUGCCAGUUUCCUCGUGAUGGGUGACUGUGCAGGGCGAAUGAUGGCUUCCCGUGAGCAUUGUUGCCUCAUGGUUGGUUGAAAAUUGAGUCCUUGGUAGGGAGCGCCGUGAUAGAUGGUGGUUGAGUGACGAACGAGACCCAAUCAUGUGAGACCCCUACCGAAUUUGGCCUUCAUGACCCACAUGCGUCUUUGGAACGCUCAUGACGAGACCUCAGGUCAGGCGGGGCUACCCGCUGAGUUUAAGCAUAUCAAUAAGAGGAGGA
rnacentral:misc_RNA from 1 species